AUGGAUGCCUUCCAAGAAGAUAGCUUCUCUCUGUCCUUUUCCUCCGCCUCUAAUGCAGAAUUUGAUGCUGUGUUUGGAUAUUUAGAAAACAUCAUCAUGGAUGAUGAGUUCCAGUUGUUACAGAGAAAUUUCAUGGACAAGUACUACCAGGAAUUUGAAGACAGAGAAGAGAAUAAAUUCACCUACACACCUAUUUUUAAUGAAUAUAUCUCUUUGAUAGAAGAAUGCUUUGAAGAACAGCUGCUGGAGCGGAUUCCUACAGUUAACAUGGCAGCUUUCACAACAACAUUACAACACCAUAAGGAUGAAGUGGUGGUGACAUGUUCAACAUGCUGCUCACAUUUACGGAUUUUCUGGCUUUAAAGAAAUGCUUCUGGACUACAGAGCAGAAAAAGAAGGCCAGGGAGGGACUUAAGCAGUGGUUGUAUGGCCACUUCACAGGGCAAAUCAUCUUCUGUGCCAACUUCCCAGAACGAUCUACAGCACUAG